UAAUACUCUCUUAUUUUUUUGUUCUUUUCUCUUCUCUCUACCCCUUCUCGCUCCUCACCGACUCCGACUUAUCGUUCGAACGAGAAACGCAAAAUCGACGUUUUCUGGCGGCUGGCACUGCAACCACAACAAUUCGACUCAAGAGAGUGCCAACAACAACAACAUUCGACCUUUGCAUGCUCGAAUCUACCCUCGACCGAAGAGUUCCAUAAGCCCAGCUUGCGGUGUUUAUUUUUCCGGCCAAUUUCAGGCCUUUCCGACCUUUUUUGGGUCCGGAGAAGGUGAUUGCCAAAGAAUCUCUCCUGACUGCACAGGUAUGAAAACAAUAGUCCUGACAUCACUGAUAUAAAUCCUUGCAAAUUUGUCGUCACGGUUAAGAUUAUUGUUUCAAUCGGGUUGUGUUUUUGUCAUAAGGAGGAUUUCCGCAGGGUGAGAGAGGAAUUGGCUGAAACUCAUAAACCAAUCAUCGGUGGAGUUCAAUGUUAGGAGCAAAACUAUUUUUCAUUAGAUACGGAGUGAGCAAUGUUUAAUGCUAUCAGUUCUCAUAUGCUGCCUUGACAUGAAAACAUAAAUAUCGACGAGAAUUGCGCAUCUUUUGCA